UCCACCCAGGUCUGUGGUUGCGGGCGCAUGCGUGCGCCCUAGUUCAUGGCAGACGAGGCCAAAAGGAUCCACGUAAGUCGUGGGGUGCGCCCUGCGGCGAGCACGGCUCGUCCUAGAGGUAAGUCGCACCGCCCGUUAGACAAGAGGCAUACGGCCUCGCGGGCGAGAGGGCUGCGAGUGAGGGGCCGUGUAGCCCCAAAGCGGAGGCCCCAGUGCGCGAGUGUGGGGUCGAAUACCAGGUCAGCUGGGUGGA
rnacentral:ncRNA from 12 species